rnacentral:rRNA from 1 species
AUGACGCUAUCGCCUAUCGAAAGAUUCAAUAUGCAUCGAAGUGUGAAUGGCUUUCUCAAUUUCGCGAUGGCAAAUAUGAUACAAAAGGGUGAAGUGCAGAUAUUAUGUCCAUGUUUGACAUGGGAAAAUGGAAUUUUGCACAACCCGUUUGAAGGCAGCCUGCUGGCGCACUUGCUCCGUCGCGGUUUCGUUGCAGGUGAUACACGGUGGCCAAAGCAUGGUGAGGAGGAUGUUAGCGAUGAUGGAGGAAACAAUGACGUAGAAAACUCUGGCGAUGAACAGGCAGAGCCGCCAGAAGGAGGAAACAAUGAACAUGCGCAUGGAGAAGGAAAUGAUGAAAUGCCACCCGAACAUGAAGAGGACCAUGAGACUGUCACGCAGGAUAUGUCGUUGGCUACAAUGCUACAAGAUCCUCAUGUUAAAGAUCUGCUUCGGAAGAAGACAACAAGCGAGAGAGCUGCUAUUAAAGAGGCUGUAAAGUUGGCGCAAUUGGAAAUAGACACGAAAACUCCACUGCAUGAAGGUUGCAAUCCCGAGAAAAAGCGCUUGCACAUCACACUCAAACUUCUGGACAUCAAGGCAAGAUUCAAGAGCACAGAUGCAAGUCUGGAUGCUACAUUGAAAUAUUUACACAAAGUUUUGCCCAAGGGGAAUUUUUUGCCUCGCAGUGUUGAUGAGGCAAAGAAGAUUCUGUGUCCGAUUGAUUUGCCACAUGUAAGAUAUCACGCAUGCAUAAAUGAUUGCAUCUUAUAUUGA